rnacentral:rRNA from 1 species
UGGGGAAUCUUCCGCAAAUGGGGCGCAAGCCUGACGGAGCAACGCCGCGUGAGUGAAGAAGGGUUUCGACUCGUAAAGCUCUGUUGUCGGGGACGAAUGUCAGGACUCAGAAUAUGGGUUCUGAAUGACGGUACCGUAAGAGAAAGCCACGGCUAACUACGUGCCAGCAGCCGCGGUAAUACGUAGGUGGCAAGCGUUGUCCGGAAUUAUUGGGCGUAAAGGGCGCGCAGGCGGCGUCGUAAGUCGGUCUUAAAAGUGCGGGGCUUAACCCCGUGAGGGGACCGAAACUGCGAUGCUAGAGUAUCGGAGAGGAAAGCGGAAUUCCUAGUGUAGCGGUGAAAUGCGUAGAUAUUAGGAGGAACACCAGUGGCGAAAGCGGCUUUCUGGACGACAACUGACGCUGAGGCGCGAAAG